CACUACCCGAAGGAGUCUCAAAGCGGCUAACAUUCUCCUUUCCCUUCCUCCCCCAUAACAAACACUCUGUGAGGUGAGUGAGGCUGAGAGACUUCAAAGAAGUGUGACUAGCCCAAGGUCACCCAGCAGCUGCAUGUGGAGGAGCGGGGAAGCAAACUCGGUUCACCAGAUUACGAGACUACCGCUCUUAAUCACUAUACCACACAGGCUCUCCAGAGAGUUAUUACAAAGGUCAGGUUUGACUCAGCAUGGUUCAGGCAAGAUCAAUGAUGUUAACAAGUUUGCAAUAGUGCCUCAUCAGAUUAAGUUUGGAAUCUGGAGGAGGAAAUCAGGCUGGAAAAGCUUCUCCUUUAUAUUGACCUCCUAAGACUGCAGUCCUGAGGGCAGAUAGGAGAGAGCUCAAAGAUGGAUGAACCAUUACAUCUAAUGCAGGCCUUUUACUGGCAGAGCACUAGUGAGUGUGAAGGAGUGCUCUUGUGCAUCUCUGUUGUCUUCCUUGAAAACCCCCACCAAUUUCCCUCCUUUUGAUCUACCCCUGGUUUUCCCAUGACACCCCCACAAUCUGCCCCCAAGACACUCCCCUUUCCGGAUCUCCCAAUGUCAAAGCUCCUGUGUUGUUAGGGUAAGGGUUGUGAUUUCCGCUGAGCCAGGGAGGAGCCAUUCAACAUCACCUCUUCCUCGCUAAAGUUUGACCUUUCUCUAUCUGCCAUCAGAGAGAGAAAUCUGAUGUUUCCUAUCUGGGAUACCCUCUCCCUGGGGACCAUAUUCUAUCCACUAAAAAAAUUGCUGGAAGUGCAAGAGCAGGGAUCAUUCAGUGUGCAACUUAAGGGUUAAUUUUGUUAACGUCAACAUGCACAGAGGGCAAUGGGGUGAAGGAGCUGCUUUGCAGGGCAUGAUCUCUAGAGCUCUGGUUAUGUAGUUAUGAGAGAGUUCUUUCUCUGUAUGUUUUGUUGAAGGUCUCCCUGCUACGUACAAGGCCUGACCUACAAAAGACAAAACCUUUCUCUUCCUUUCCCUUCAAAUUAUAUGCUGUCUUUCUUCAGUUUGUUCAAUAAAGUGCUAUUCAGACUCUCUGUAGACUUCUCCCGCGUUUCUUAAGGGACUUUGCUAAGAAAAACCUGCAGGUGGAGAUUCUGUGUCUGGAAGAUAUCUUCAAACAGAUGCAACUAUCAACCCUAUAGCAUAGGGUUGUAAGGAAGCAGUAGUAGUAAGGAAGAAGUUUCACACAGGUUUGAUUUUGGUCCUGGCAUUUGAGACUUAUCUCACCCAUCCUGGCUGCUCCACAAUCCUCUUUGCUGUUGUUGCAUUUUUGUUCGUCUUCGUUCAGUGUGCCUUUGAAUGGGAGGCACAGUUCAUAAAUCACACAGGGGGAAAAACACAGGCAGGAAAAGGGUGCUAUGAAAUAUAUACAGAAAAGAAAACGUUUGAUGGCAAAAGGCCGUCUUUUUUAAGACCCCUUGUUAUGGUUGUGGUCACUUGUUUAUACCUCGUAAUAACUACAGCAAUGUUAUCAGCGCUAGUCAAAGCAGAAGGAUUUCUGUCUGUGCUGUGAAUAUUGCCUCCAACAGACCCAUGUAAUUGUUUAUAAUAGCUACUCAGUGCAUAUAACCAGAGAGUUGGCCAGAAAUGUAGGUGCUUCUGGGAAAUAAAUAUUGCCUCUGCUGAUAGGCAUGAUGUCGUUCAGCUCAGGGUAAGCAAAUUAAAUCCUCUUAAUUAAAAAUAAAAACCUCAGCCCACAACUUAUUUUCCCUGCUGUAUACAUUAUCUGUGGAGAGGUUUGUAAAAUAUGUAAUGUGAUACAUUGAUUUCAUUCCAGAAUUCCAAACUUAACCUAUGUUAUAUGUGAGACUAGUUUCACUUAAAUUUAUAGUCCAGUUCCUACCAUUGAGCUUACAAGUUAAGUUUUACAAGGGAAGGGCAAUAAAUUAAAUCUAGAUGGAGGCAUAACUUUGGCCCUCUAGCUGGUUGUACAGUUUAGCACAUUAAAAAGAGAGAGAGCAUAAUGCGCACUUGUUAAUAAAAUUAGCACAGCGCUGACAUGUAAAAAACCAUUUUAUAAUUGGCGGGUCCAUUCUAAGGGCCUGUUGACAACACUGAAUUUCAGAAACCUGCUUUGGUAACAACAUUGUAAAUGUGGAAAGCUCAUAAAUGGAUACAACAGAAAUUCGUUUGCUCUUUGAUAUUACGUGUGUAUGUGUGUGUCUCCGUAAAGCGAAAACUGUAAAAUUACCACAUAAUAAAAGCCAGGGUACUGAGCGCUAAUUGCCUAUUUAUACAAAAAAGGGUCUUUUCUACAGUCUUGUAGGUGUGAGGCAUAAACGUCUUGGAUUUUACGAAGCUGCGAUUUACAUUUUCAGCCUGUCUGUUCUCUCUUGCAUUUCAUCUCAACCUUAUAAAAAAGAAAAUGUGAUUUUAUUAAUCUGCUUCAAGUAUUCACCGGGCAUUAAAUCCACAAAGCACCCUGCAGGGUUUUAAUUGUGACAGAAGAGCCAGCGACAAUUGGGGCCUCCUGCCCACCACUGAGGCUGGCCCACCCUGGCUGCUGGGCACAAAUGCUGGUUUUUAAACAGCAAUACCCGGCCGGUCGUGAUAGCCACUUUGUCAGCUGCCUGGAGGGAAGUUGUCAAGUCUGGGACCCCGCUGCUUUAUUCCUAUAACUCUGUUGUAGAAACACCUCACAAGUGGAAUUGUGGUUGCCUCAUCCAGAAAAUGUGGAAAGGAUUAAUGUGGCAUGUAAAACAAAUCACUCUUGAGCUCAGCUGAGAAAGUGGGUAUUAAAAGCACUCCAGUCAAAAGGGCUUUUAGUAAAAGGGUUGCUGUGAUAUACAGUCAGCAUAUGCUGGGCUGGUAAAGCUGCAGGGUGUUUGGAAAUGGUAAUGGUCCAUGGGUGUAAAUUCUUUCAAGACCUCUUAAAGGCACAUAUGUUUUUUGAGCAUGUUCCUCAAACAAGGACCUGUUAUGGUUUAGAGUCAAUGGCGCUUUUAAACUUUAUUGAUUGGCUUGUGAUAUUCCGAGGCCACUUAACCAUCUUUCUAGUAUUGCUGGACAAGUGGCUUUUAGAAACCUGGAAUCUCAUACAUUCUCUUGCCUACGCAGUUGUGUGCAUUCUGAAAUUAGCAAUCUCUAGAAGUCCAGUCAUCCCAAGGAAACAGUUUGACAUCUUCCCGGGGUGUGUGGGUAUGUGUCUGUGUGUGCCCUUUUAUUGAGCUUUGUUUAUUCUUAUGCAGAUUUAUUUAUUGGUUGAUAUACCACUGUUCUGGUCCCCAAAAGCCCUUAAAGGUUGCUUACAAUAAAAAUAAGUAAAAACAGUGAAAUACCUUGUCCCCGUUUUGCAAUGCACAAGUACAGGAGAACAUUUUCGGAGGCUGUUUUCACUCAGAUAUGCAUAUACCUGCUACUUCUUCUGAAGAUCAUAGACUCCUUUCAAAGCCACUUUGAAAACCACAUUUGUAACCAAACAUGUUACAAAUGAAGAAGAGCAGAAUCAUUCCAAUGCAAAUCUUUUUUGAAGCCUAGAUUUCACAAGUAUGGGACAUUGUACAAAUUAACCAGGAAUAUUGAUCUGGUGGGGUGGGGUGAGCACUCACACCUUCUGUAAGACAAGUUAUUCUAUUAUUGACUUUGUUUAGACAUUUGAACAUGGUUUUGAUCCUCCUUGUGGAGAGACACUUUCAUUUAACUGCCUUUCUGGGAAGGUCUAAAACUGCAACCAUCAGCCGCUAUUUUUCUUUCUUUUCUGAACAACUACUAAGCUCUGUUUUCCUUGCAUGCGUAUGUUUUGCUACUUGGAAUUAAUAGAUCAAUUAAACAACAUCAACAGCAUCUCUCCAGGGCAACCCAUCACCAAAUGCACACAGAGGCAAAUGUUCACCAUACCAUGUUGUAAAAACACACACCAAAGCACACAUUUAAAAGAAAAAGCUCAGAGCGAUGGAGAAGGAGCCAGUAUGUAGCACUAAUAACCUAGCAGGGUAGCAGUAAUCAGAAGCAAGAUGAAAAUGGGAUGACGAAUGGCCCAGAUAUUCAUCAUGUGCAGGAGUGAACCUUAUAGUGAAGCUGUGCUGCUCAGCUGACCACCCUCUAGUUGUGUUGCUGCUGCAUAGUAAAAUACAGAGGAGGAGGAGGAGAAGUCAGACAGCAGCAAGAUUAGCCUGCUACAAACACAUCAGCAGAGGUGAUCUGGUAGCCCUCAUUCUCUCCAUUCUGGUAUGCAAAGAGAUAUAGCUGAUUUAGGUGUACAAACUCAGUGUAAGUUCUCCAACUGUCAGAUGGGAGCAAGUAGUUGCCUACAUAGAUCACAGGAAUGUAUUGCAGGUAAAGCUGCAAAGGGAACAAGAAAAAACUGAAGCCUAAUAUUGAAAAGACAGAGGGGUUGUGUAUUCAAAGUUUUCGAGUCCAGGAAGUGGGGACAUGAUAGUGUUUAAAGUCCUAAAUAACCCAGCACCCCAACACCACCUCCUUCCCUAUAGACCCUCCCAGUUGGUAAGAUAAACAGAGAAAGGGUCCUUUUGGUAGUUCCACCUGGUAGUUCCCCAGUGGGGUAGUGGUGGUGAUAUGGGAGAGGGCAUUCUCUGUGGCAGCCCCUAAGUUGUGGUGCUGCCUCACCAGACAGUUGUGUCCAGCUCCUUUACCAUAUAGCUUUUGGCCUUUGACACCUGAGAUGUGUGUUUUCAGAGCCCACCCUAUUCCUGCAGGUGCAAUCUGCUUAAACUGUUUUAAAUGUCGAAUUAUGAAUUGUUGUAACCCACCCUGGGACCUGCUGGUGAAGAUUUAAGAGUAAGGAGCACAUUGUGUAGAACCAUUUAAGUGAGGUAGUCUACUGGCUUGACCUUCUGCUUAGGAACAUUUUAUCCAUACUUUAAAGAAGAGGAGCCAUAGUUCAGUGGCACAGCCCAUGUGCUGCAUAAGGUCACAGGUUUAGUUCCCAGAACCAAUAAUAAUAAUAAUAAUAAUAAUAAUAAUAAUAAUAAUAAUUUAUUUAUACCCUGCCUAUCUGGCUAGGUUUCCCCAGACACUCUGGGCAGCUCCCAACAGAAUAUGAAAAACACAAUAAAAUAUCAAACAUAAAAACUUCCCUAAACAGAGCUGCCUUCAGAUGUCUUCUAAAAGUCAGGUAGUUGUUUAUUUCUUUGACAUCUGAUGGGAGGGCGUUCCACCGGGUGGGUGCCACUACCGAGAAGGCCCUCUGCCUGGUUAGAUCCCUCUCCAAGAUCCUGGCAAUAUUGAACGAGAUGGACCAGUGGUCUGAUUAAUGAUAAGGUUCUUUGAGCAUGUUCAAUUUGUUUGUGGACUGAAAUGAUUCAGACUUAUCAUCUGUUGAGUAGUUCCGUUGUUCUUGAAAACUAUGCCUGCUACUUUAUAUGUAAACCUAACAAUGAAUUUAAACGUUAAAAUGAACAUAAAAUCAGGGAGCAGCUGCAUAGACUUCCCUUGCAGGUAAUCACUGCAUCUGAACACUGGCUUCACUGAAUGGAGCUCAUGUUACAAUUGCUUUUGAGCUGUACAUGCCAGAUGUUUGUGUGUGGUUUUUUUGUUUUUUUGUUUAAAGAGCAUGCAAGAGACCUUGUUGUAUUUCAAAGUGGGAAGUGGCUGAAAUGGAAACGAAGAACAAUGCUGCAUCUGGCUGUUAGAUUUUAUUUGCCAUUGCAUUCGGCAACUUUGCAAUAACAUUUCCUUCCACUGUCCCUGCACACUCACCAAUAAAUCUGUGGUUUCUUUCAAAACAUUGCUAUUGUAUCUGGACUCAUUCUGGGGUCUUGAAAUCAAUUAAAAGUACAAUGUUGGCUUUGAUGGUGUACAGGAAAGAAUUGGCACAGGAAACUGAGAUGGUGGGUCCCUGCUACCUGUCAGAUUUCUACCUGAGUUUCAGCAGGAAAGUAAUAAAAAUAUAUAUUUACCGAAAAUGUGCAUAGAAAGUAGGAAUGAACAGACACAACAAGGACAAGUUUAAUUUUUUAUCUGUCCAGAAUAUAUCUCCAUGGGUAAUCUUGGGAAAUAAAUCAUGGAUACAUGAGCAGCAAUUAUGUCAGAGUUGGGGGGCAAAAAAAGAAGAAUAUAUAUGUGUGUUUGUGUUUUGAAUCACCGUAUAUAAAAUUACUCAUGGAUUGCUCUUAUUUUUGUUAAUCCUAUAAAUCACCAGGACCGUCAAGCAGAAAGGUCAUGGUUUCAUGAUCAAAAACGUACUUAGCUGAGUUAAAACAAUCGUGCGGAAUCCUGUGUGAAUGUUGAAUAUUUUGGUUUCCCUUUCAGGUUCUGGUUCAGUGCCCCAGACUCUGCCUCUGACUGUAACCAUGACUGAAAAUAUUGUUUCACCCGUUUCAGCAAUGACACCAUUUGUUACUUCUUUGCUUUACUACAGGGCUGGUAAAAGUCAAGAUCAAUCAACCACCUUUAAUAUUUCCACCAUGCAGAGAACUUUGCAGCCAACAUGCAAAAAGAGAUACAGUUGAAGUGAAGUCACGCUCUGGCAUCUUCAUAAAAUGGAAAGCCGAACAUGUAAUUUCUGCAUACCAGGACCGAACUGCCUAAAUUUCGCUGCCAAUGCCCUGAAGUUGAGAAAAUAAUUCAAAUAUAUAUUUGAAUAGACAGAGGACAGGAAUAUCACCUUGAAACUCUGGUUAACUAUUAUUAUUUUAAUUGCAAGCUGAUGUGGAAAUGCAAAGAACUGAAUUUAAGAUAGGAAAAAUAAGAAGUUGAGUGAAAUUGACAAAUAUUCCCAUUCUUAGUAGCUCCCACAUCCUGCUAAAUGGGAGAUAAUUUGCUUCAGGGGGUACCAUGAAGGCAGUGGGAGGAUAGAUACAAGAACUAAUGUAUUUAAAAUUGUGGGGGGCAUUUGGACUCCACUUCGGGUAUUAAAAUUCAGUGGGCCAGCACAGAUGUUGAGUAGCACUAAUCAAUAUGUCAUCAUUAGAUGUAUAUACUAUCCCAUAUAUUUUUGCAUUUCUGUAGUGAGAAAUGGUACAUGGAAACGAAUAUAGGCCCAUGGAGAAAAGCAUAAUAUACGGAAAAGAGACAGGCUAUAUAAGGAUGUAGAAGGGGAGACUGAGAGAAUGAAAAGAGGAAGCAGGAAAUGAAGGCAACAUUUGAAAAGCAAAACUGCCACACCAUAAUUUAUUAGGCAAACCAGGAAAUGAAUUACAGUUAAAGAAUGACAAGAGACAUUUCGGAAACUAUAUAUAAUAAAAAGUAAAUUCUGGACUGAUGGAUCAUGUGCUUCUGGAAAUAAAAUCACAUUGCCAUUUUCUCUCGCCAACCCACCAAAA
rnacentral:lncRNA from 1 species